GACAGGUUGGUGGUGGAAGACUCAGUGUGCCAGCUGCUGUCCUGUGUGGUGGCAGCUAGUAGGGAUGCCAGGGCCCUGUCCCCUCACUCACUGCUCCUGCGGCGUCCCUAGUAGCAGCUCAGGCAGUGGACCACUGGCUCUCCCACAGACAGCACUCCCUGAAGUUUGUGGCACACAUGGAAGAUGCCCUGAAAGAGCUCACUGAGAUGCUAUUAUGCAAUGACCAGCUCAACAGGAGAGAUGUUUGUUUCUGUCGGUGCGAUGCGUGAAGAUACCAGGUGGCUGUACCGACUCCAAUAGCGUGUCUCGAGUGAGCCACGUUUCCGUGAAACAAAGAACGUUACAAUCUCUGUAUCUCGGGAAGGCAACCCUUGCUCGGAUUUCGUCUACCUUGUUGUCAAGAGACUGGAGAUUGGCGAGUAGUGAACUCGGGAGCGGUGCGCGAUGUGCCCGUCUACGGAGCCUGACCAGAAGACCACUUCUUCUGCCCCUCCUGCGGCGCCGUUGUUUUGGGUCGCCGGCUGGGAUCCGAUCCAUUGUCCUGGGUGGUGGACCAAACAGAGGAUCCGCUUCGGGAAAGUCGUAUUCCUGGUCAUAAUGUUGGUAAGUUGACGCUCUUAUAUCCAAUAGUUCCUCCCGGCUCUAUGUAAUA
ensembl:lncRNA